UACGUAGGGUGCGAGCGUUAAUCGGAAUUACUGGGCGUAAAGUGUGCGCAGGCGGCCGAGCAAGUCGAGUGUGAAAGCCCCGAGCUUAACUUGGGAAUUGCGCUCGAAACUACUUGGCUGGAGUGUGGCAGAGGAAGGUGGAAUUCCAGGUGUAGCGGUGAAAUGCGUAGAGAUCUGGAGGAACACCGAUGGCGAAGGCGGCCUGCUGGGCAGUAGCUGACGCUGAGGCGCGACAGCGUGGGGAGCAAACAGG
rnacentral:rRNA from 1 species